rnacentral:rRNA from 1 species
UACGGAGGGUGCGAGCGUGGUCCGGAAUCACUGGGCGUAAAGGGCGCGUAGGUGGCGCGGUCAGUCAACGGUGAAAGUUCGGGGCUCAACCCUGAAUCGGCCGUCGAUACUCCCGUGCUGGAGCACUGUAGAGGCUAAUGGAAUUCCGGGUGUAGCGGUGGAAUGCGUAGAGAUCCGGAAGAACACCGGUGGCGAAGGCGGUUAGCUGGGCAGUUGCUGACACUGAGGCGCGACAGCGUGGGGAGCAAACAGG